UACGAAGGGAGCUAGCGUUGUUCGGAAUCACUGGGCGUAAAGCGCACGUAGGCGGAUUUGCCAGUCAGGGGUGAAAUCCCGGGGCUCAACCUCGGAACUGCCUUUGAUACAGCAAGUCUUGAGUUCGAGAGAGGUGGGUGGAAUUCCUAGUGUAGAGGUGAAAUUCGCAGAUAUUAGGAAGAACACCGGUGGCGAAGGCGGCCCACUGGCUCGACACUGACGCUGAGGUGCGAAAGCGUGGGGAGCAAACAGG
rnacentral:rRNA from 1 species